AUAUAUAUUUAGAGUCCAUGAAUAUAUAGAGAGAGUUAUGUUAAUAUCCUUACAAAAAAAAUUGAUAAAUAAUUAUAAUAGUAUGUGUUGCCAAUAUUUUAGGAGUUAUUGUUCUUGUUAUUAUAUUAGACAUUCUCUUAAAUUGUAUCAAAUUAGCUUUUGGAUUAAUAAUCUUUCACCUGCUUUUAGGCUGGGAAUAAGCAUAAAUCCCCCAAGAUCCAAGGCUAAUAGUGUAGGUGAAUUAUGUUAUUUAAUCAAAUGAUUUUUUAUAGUUGAAUUAUUGUUAAUGGUCGAGCUAUAGGUCAACAUUUCAAAUAUGUAAAGUAGUUAAAAAAACGAGUUUGAGAGACAAAUAUAUGUUUGUCAAAGAAUUGGGUAAGAGCCUGGGCUAUUAUAGUUUUCUUUUAUGACUUGAUAAAUAUGGCCCCUAAAUAAUUGUUUUUAUGGAGGUGUGUUGAUAUUGCCUUUUUCUCUGAUCCCCUAUGCAUUCUCGCCAUUCUUGUUUUCUGUUCCUCAAGCUUGCCAUUGUUGUUUUAUUCUCUUUAAGUUUGACAUCAUGGCUAUUGUUUUAUAGGUGUGUCUUCUUUGCCUCAUGUUUCUUCUCCUAAGAUAAUGGGUGUUAACCUAUCUUGUUGCGAGACUCCAACCUCGUCUCUAAAGGUGGUGGAGUGAUGAGAUGACACACCUCUGUUUCUCCUAUAUUGGAGUCGUCCUUAUAAGAUUAAUAAGAUUAAGUGUAUAGGGGAAAAUCUUUUAAAUCUUGUAGAGAGGGUCGAUUGCGUAGCUUGUAGCUUGUAGCUUGAGCGAGAGAAAAAAAAAAAUCUCUCAUUUUGAAGGAUAUUAGUGUUAUGUUGGGUGAUUAAGCAAUAUUUGUGGUGGUAGUGCAUGGAUUUUGAAUGUAUCGAGAUCAUAUAAUUAUGUUUUUAGAGAUUUAAGCGAUGGUUGGUUGCACAAACAUUGGAUAAAAUAUGGCUUGAUGUUUUGUAACUUGUUGGAAGGAGUGCAAUAUGUACGUAUUACUUAAUCUUGUAAGUGGUAAGGUGAUAAGUUCUAUGUUUGACUUUGUAGAGUUUGAAUACUAUUACAAAUACUACUAUAAGGAUAUUUUACAUGAAAUCUAAUGUGAAAGGCAUAUAUUCCGAUAAUUGAUU
rnacentral:lncRNA from 1 species